rnacentral:rRNA from 1 species
GAUGAACGCUGGCGGCGUGCCUAAUACAUGCAAGUCGAGCGAACAGACGAGGAGCUUGCUCCUCUGACGUUAGCGGCGGACGGGUGAGUAACACGUGGAUAACCUACCUAUAAGACUGGGAUAACUUCGGGAAACCGGAGCUAAUACCGGAUAAUAUAUUGAACCGCAUGGUUCAAUAGUGAAAGACGGUUUUGCUGUCACUUAUAGAUGGAUCCGCGCCGCAUUAGCUAGUUGGUAAGGUAACGGCUUACCAAGGCAACGAUGCGUAGCCGACCUGAGAGGGUGAUCGGCCACACUGGAACUGAGACACGGUCCAGACUCCUACGGGAGGCAGCAGUAGGGAAUCUUCCGCAAUGGGCGAAAGCCUGACGGAGCAACGCCGCGUGAGUGAUGAAGGUCUUCGGAUCGUAAAACUCGGUUAUUAGGGAAGAACAAAUGUGUAAGUAACUAUGCACGUCUUGACGGUACCUAAUCAGAAAGCCACGGCUAACUACGUG